UUAAUCGACUGAGCCACCCAGGUGCCCUUCAACAUACUUUUUAUGUAGAAACCAGAAAAAUCCGGGGGGUACCAAUUUUUUUUUUUUUUUAAGCAAUGUUCUGUGAUCCAUUUAUGGAUAAAAAAUCUGGUUUAGCAUUAAUCUUUGGGACUUGAAAGGAUGUACCUUCAUUUGGAUUUAGAAGAGUGAAAAUCUGAUAGUUAGAUCUGUACCUUGUGUAGUGUAAUUAAAUACCAGGCUGGGUGUGUAGGACUAUGUAUGAACCCAACACAGCUACCCUAUAGGCCCUAGUGAUCACUUUCCACCCUCCAAUAGUAGCCUUCACCCCUUUUAUCAUCCAUACAUACAUCUACUGUAUUUACUUGUUGCCUUUAUCUCUUUCACUGAUCUUCCCCACACCCCCCAUCUCCAUCACCCUUAUUUUUUUCCCUGUCCUCCAAAUUGUAUUUUCUGUAUAUGUAAGAACAUGUUUCCUUUCUGACCCAUCAGUUUUUUCAUCUGUAAAAUGAGGUUAUACUAGAAUUAUCUCUAGGUUCCUGCCCUGUUCUAAGAUAUAUGUUUAUCCUUUUCAUAUCUUUUCUUCUCACCCUUACUGCUUUUAUACUCAAUUGUAAGUGUAGAUGUAGUUUAUAAGAAAUACAACAUUUUUGUAAGUCACGCAAAACUCACCGUUUGUAUGUGAGUGAGUUUAUGUGUGAGAGGAGAAACUAUGUCUCUGAUUGUCUCCAAAUUGCUGGGACCUCAGCAGAACCUUGUCUAUUCUGAAAAUUUAUCUCAUCCACUGUCAUCCUUGCCUACUAAGAAAGUGGACAGCAAAGCACCCUAUAUCAGAGAAUGAUUAGAAUCAUAGACCAUAGAAGCCAAAUGAUUUAAUUCUUUAAAUUCAUUCUUAAGCUCUUUUUAUUAGAAUUUAAAAGUCAGUUUAACAGUAUUAAAUAGUGAUUAAAUAAUAAAGUACCCAUAAUUCUUCCUUCUAAAUGAAAUUAUUUACAUUUGUAUGUUAUUUUUGUGUAUACAUUGAACAUGGCAGUAUUUUUAACAUUUCCAGUGUUUAAAAUGGGUCUUCUAACAGAUGAACAAUAUUUCAUAUUGCUGUACCCAUAAUAGGUAUUUAGGUUUUUUUAUUACAACAUUCAAAUGAACUAAUGUCUGUGUAUUUAUAUUUUUGUAUCUGUUAAAUCAUUUCCUUAAUAUAAAUUCCUGGGAAAUGCAGUUACUGAAUCAAAGGGCAGGAAUAUCUCUAUGGCUUAGCUACAUAAACAUGCCAUAUUUUCCAUAAUGGCUUAUAAAUUACUAACAUGAAUGUGUGCACUAGUUUUAACAGAAUUUCAAUGGCAUGGGGUGUUGAUUUUGUUGUUUCAAUAGAUAUAAAAUCUCAAAUUUAUAUUCCUUUUGGUGAAUGGCAAGGCUAAGUAUUCUUCCAUUUUUUUUAUGAAAUUUUUUCCCUGA